GAAUUCGCCCUUAGAGUUUGAUCCUGGCUCAGGACGAACGCUGGCGGCGUGCUUAACACAUGCAAGUCGAACGAGCGAGAGAGAGCUUGCUUUCUCGAGCGAGUGGCGAACGGGUGAGUAACGCGUGAGGAACCUGCCUCAAAGAGGGGGACAACAGUUGGAAACGACUGCUAAUACCGCAUAAGCCCACGGCUCGGCAUCGAGCAGAGGGAAAAGGAGCAAUCCGCUUUGAGAUGGCCUCGCGUCCGACUAGCUAGUUGGUGAGGUAAUGGCCCACCAAGGCAACGAUCGGUAGCCGGACUGAGAGGUUGAACGGCCACAUUGGGACUGAGACACGGCCCAGACUCCUACGGGAGGCAGCAGUGGGGAAUAUUGCACAAUGGGGGAAACCCUGAUGCAGCGACGCCGCGUGGAGGAAGAAGGUCUUCGGAUUGUAAACUCCUGUUGUUGAGGAAGAUAAUGACGGUACUCAACAAGGAAGUGACGGCUAACUACGUGCCAGCAGCCGCGGUAAAACGUAGGUCACAAGCGUUGUCCGGAAUUACUGGGUGUAAAGGGAGCGCAGGCGGGAAGACAAGUUGGAAGUGAAAUCUAUGGGCUCAACCCAUAAACUGCUUUCAAAACUGUUUUUCUUGAGUAGUGCAGAGGUAGGCGGAAUUCCCGGUGUAGCGGUGGAAUGCGUAGAUAUCGGGAGGAACACCAGUGGCGAAGGCGGCCUACUGGGCACCAACUGACGCUCAGUCCCGAAAGCGUGGGGAGCAAAUAGGAUUAGAUACCCUAGUAGUCCACGCCGUAAACGAUGAGUACUAAGUGUUGG
rnacentral:rRNA from 1 species